rnacentral:tRNA from 1 species
AGUAAAAUGGCUGAAUUAGGCGAUAAAUUGUAAAUUUAUUAAUGGUUUAAAACCUUUUACUA